CGGCGUGCCUAAUACAUGCAAGUCGAACGGUCUUUUCUAUGGAAGCUUGCUUCCACUGAGAAGAUAGUGGCGAACGGGUGAGUAACACGUGGGUAACCUGCCCAUAAGAGGGGGAUAACAUCCGGAAACGGGUGCUAAUACCGCAUAGUUUUCUUGAUCGCAUGAUCGGGAAAGGAAAGACGGCCUUUGUGCUGUCGCUUAUGGAUGGACCCGCGGCGUAUUAGUUAGUUGGUGAGGUAACGGCUCACCAAGACGAUGAUACGUAGCCGACCUGAGAGGGUGAUCGGCCACAUUGGGACUGAGACACGGCCCAAACUCCUACGGGAGGCAGCAGUAGGGAAUCUUCCGCAAUGGACGAAAGUCUGACGGAGCAACGCCGCGUGAGUGAAGAAAAGGUUUUCGGAUCGUAAAACUCUGUUGUCAGAGAAGAACAAGUUGGAGAGUAACUGCUCCAGCCUUGACGGUACUCUGACCAGAAAGCCACGGCUAACUACGUGCCAGCCGCAGC
rnacentral:rRNA from 1 species